AGUGGCGAACGGGUGAGUAACGCGUAGGAAUAUGCCUUAAAGUGGGGGACAACCUGGGGAAACUCAGGCUAAUACCGCAUAAGCUCUAUGGAGUAAAGCUGGGGACCUUCGGGCCUGGCGCUUUAAGAUUAGCCUGCGUCUGAUUAGCUUGUUGGUGGGGUAAAGGCCUACCAAGGCGACGAUCAGUAGCUGGUCUGAGAGGAUGACCAGCCACACUGGAACUGAGACACGGUCCAGACUCCUACGGGAGGCAGCAGUGGGGAAUAUUGGACAAUGGGGGAAACCCUGAUCCAGCAAUGCCGCGUGUGUGAAGAAGGCCUGAGGGUUGUAAAGCACUUUCAGUGGGGAGGAGGAUUGCUAGGUUAAGAGCUAGGUAAUUGGACGUUACCCACAGAAGAAGCACCGGCUAACUCCGUGCCAGCAGCCGCGGUAAUACGGAGGGUGCGAGCGUUAAUCGGAAUUACUGGGCGUAAAGGGUGCGUAGGUUGUUGAAUAAGUUAUCUGUGAAAUCCCUGGGCUUAACCUGGGCAGGUCAGAUAAGACUGUUUGACUCGAGUAUGGGAGAGGGUAGUGGAAUUCCCGGUGUAGCGGUGAAAUGCGUAGAGAUCGGGAGGAACACCAGUGGCGAAGGCGGCUACUGUCUGAUACUGACACUGGAGCACGAAAGCGUGGGGAGCAAAACAGAUUAGAAACUUGGG
rnacentral:rRNA from 1 species